rnacentral:ncRNA from 14 species
CCUGUAGCUCAGCUGGAUAGAGUACCUGGCUGCGAACCAGGCGGUCGCACGUUCGAAUCGUGCCAGG